UACGUAGGGGGCAAGCGUUGUCCGGAUUUAUUGGGCGUAAAGAGCGUGUAGGCGGCCAUUCAGGUCAGCUGUGAAAACUCGAGGCUCAACCUCGAGACGUCGGUUGAAACCGUUUGGCUAGAGUCCGGAAGAGGAGAGUGGAAUUCCCGGUGUAGCGGUGAAAUGCGCAGAUAUCGGGAAGAACACCCGUGGCGAAGGCGGCUCUCUGGGGCGGUACUGACGCUGAGACGCGAAAGCGUGGGGAGCGAACAGG
rnacentral:rRNA from 1 species